GAAUCUUCCGCAAUGGACGCAAGUCUGACGGAGCAACGCCGCGUGAGUGAUGAAGGUUUUCGGAUCGUAAAGCUCUGUUAUCAGGGAAGAACAAGUGUUUGGUAACUACAGACAUGAUGACGGUACCUGAGAAGAAAGCCCCGGCUAACUACGUGCCAGCAGCCGCGGUAAUACGUAGGGGGCAAGCGUUGUCCGGAAUUAUUGGGCGUAAAGCGCGCGCAGGCGGUGGAUGAAGUUUGGUGUUUAAGCCCAGGGCUCAACCCUGGUGAGCACUGAAAACUGGUUCACUUGAGUACAGAAGAGGAGAGUGGAAUUCCACGUGUAGCGGUGAAAUGCGUAGAUAUGUGGAGGAACACCAGUGGCGAAGGCGACUCUCUGGUCUGAAACUGACGCUGAGGCGCGAAAGCGUGGGGAGCAAACAG
rnacentral:rRNA from 1 species